ACAGAAUUAAUCAGUGAUUGUUUUUUUCUAAUACAUCUUUCUCAUGACCUUGGCUGAGAUUCACUUACAGCAGAUACAGCUAAAGGAGAAAGUCUUAAGUUUACAACACUUGUGCUUGAAAACUUUAUGCUAAAAGAUGUGUACAGAAAUUCAUCAAUAUCCUGUAUUUACCAUCUUGAUUUUGCACAAGUUGACUGGAUACUUUGGUUUGGUGUUGUAGACCUGGGGCCUAAUCAGCAUACUGAGCCUCUCCCAGGAAGAACAUGUGCAUUAUUAUUAUCUUGUAUCAGAAUGGUGAAAUGGUAUAGAUGUAACGUCUGUAAAGCAUAAAGUAAGAAUACACAGUAGAUGAUUCCUAUCUGAAGUUGUUACGUUGCUGUAUCUUGCCUAACCAUAUGCUGGGUAAAUUUAGCAAAGCUCACCUGGGUCAGAUGAAAAGUCAAGCUAAUUAGAGCACAAUCAGAGAAAUUAAAAGACUUGGAGAGAAGCUCCAGGGAAGUGCCCAGCAGGCUGCCUGCUGCAUGCGCCUGGGGAAGCAGCCAGGGCAUGUCUGAGAAAGAAUGAAUUCAUUUGUGCUUCAGGGGGUGGAAUGCAACUGCCAGCAAGAAACCCCACAAUCCCUGGUUGUUAGAGGGGACAGAGCAGCCAGCUGAUCACUGGAAGUGCAAAGUAGGGUGAGUGCUAGAAUGACGGAGAUUUUAUUCGCUCAGCUCCCACGCUUGUCCUGCUAUAUCUGUGCUCUGCCUCAACAGAUGGGCUGUGUAGUCUGUUCCCUUCCUGAGCUGUGCCCAGCACUCCAAAUUGGGAGUAACAAACGUGAACCAGCAGAUCUGCACCAAGUUCCACUGUGCUGUGGUCGAAGUCAGUUAUUUUAAGUUAGGGAGAGCACUGGAAGUGAUUGGUGAAAUGCUUUGAAAUAACAGGUUUACCACUGUUAAUUCACUUUAUAAUUACUGUAAUAAUAAUAAUGCCAACCUCCUUAAAUAUUAGCACUGGUGCCAGAGGUACUUGUGUAGGGGAGAUCUCGGGCUUCAGUUCUAAUUAGCUGCUUAACAGUAUACUGUCAGCGUGAGGUGUGCAUUUAAAAGAACAACAAUAGGAAUCUGAAAUGUUUGUGCUGAGAACAGAUAAAUUGGAGAGCUGAAUCUUGUUGCUCUUAAAACCUGCUGACUUCUUUUCAUCCUGUUCUUUGCCUGGUGCAGGGAACUUUCUCCCAUCCUCCAUGCAUAACUGCAUAAUUACACGGUGCCCAUACAAAACAUUGCUGGGAGGAAAAUACAGGACUGCGUAGAGGCUGUUCUGAGUGUUUUGUUUGUGACCUUUCCUUCCUUCCCAUUUUGCUAUUUUAAUUGCUGUACACCAAGUAUUGAGGUCCAAGGAGGCAGCAGAGCUGCUGCUUCAACUUAAGCUCUGCUAUUGGUAUAAAUGGAAGUUAAUGCCAGUACAGUUUUAUGAUACUUUUGAUCUGUUUUGUGAUACUUUUGAUCUGCUACACCCUUGUCCAUAGUCCUUUGCAGCACUUUUCACCAGUGUUGGCUGUUUGCAAUAUGGUAGCAUCUUGAACCUGAUCUUAAUGAUAAACUUUUAAGAUGGGAAGUGUAUUUUUGUUUUGUUUUUUAAUGAGCAGGAGAGCCCAUGUCUUUUCAGGUGAGUUUUUCAAAGCAUACUGAGCAAGAUGAGCUCAGCUUUCACUUAAAAGUCUCUGCUUCAUUCAGUCCCUGAUUUCUGCUGUCAUACCUAUUAGGACUAGUUCUUAUUAGGGCCUAAACACAGCCAGACAAGUAGGGAAUGUUGGAACACUUGUCUUUCAUAUUUUGCCCCAUAUAAAUCUAUAGGGAAAGCUCUCACUGCAGUGGAUGUGAAUAUGGCUUUGGGAACGUUAUUAGUCGGAUCUAAGAUAUCAACACAUGAUAUCUCUAGAGGCAGCUCUGCUUGUGCUCAGCCAAACAAGGGAUGCUUUUGGAAGCCAUCCCAGGAAGGAGAGUUUGCAGAAUAAGUGCAUCUAUUUUGUUUGCAGUGAUAGCCAGGUAGCAAGUGUUUCUUCUUGGCAGUGAUUCAUAAAGUUUUGACAUGGAUGCCACUUGGGGUAGGGAUGUGAUGGUUUCAUGGGAUGCUAAAGAGAAUAAUUCUGACCUACGGAAGAGGAGUGAGAGAAGGAGAAUCUUAAUGGCAGGAAAUACAUCCUCAUAAUAGGGCUUUUUAGGCUCAGCUACUGUCUUUGAUAGGAAAUGGUGGCAGUUCCAUUCUGUGAGUAAUUUAGCACUGGAUAAAGGGAAGGAACAAUCCCUGUAAGGAUAUGGAGGGGUGAGAACACCCAUCAAGCCAUUUAAUCUUUUCUUGCUUUGCUUGAUUGUUUGUCUUUUUUUUUUUAAAUGUAAACAGCAUCAUUUUGUUUUCCUUUCUAAGUAUUUGUGCCUUUUUGUUCUAUUUGGUAGAUGUGAGUGCUGUUAGCAGCAAGAGCCUUUGAAGGUGCAGAGUAUGCAUGUCUCACAUGGAUGUCCAUUUUGUCAGGCUCUGCGUGCUGGCUUCUAUAAUCCUUCCCAGAGGUUAUCCUUCCACAAGUGGAUGCUCAUGUCUAGUAUCAGCUUUGUCUUCAUCAGGCCUGAGCUAUGUCACGUUACCCUUUAUUUUUUGUUUUCUGUUUUGCACCAAAGUGAGCCAUCACAUCAUUCUCCAUAUCUUCUUUGGGCAGCAGCACUCUCUGAAGCAAACAAUUUGUCUGUACCUAUAGUCAGGUGAAGGGGGAGGGCGUGCAAACAGAAAGUAGAAGUUGAAGGUUUGCUGCUGACACACUUCCUGUCCUCAGGAGUGGUUUCCAAACACUCCUCAGAAAGGUGUAUGCCUGGUUGCUGAGCAAGGUGGUGUGACUCAUUAGCCAGAAGUUCAGCUGAGUGUCAAGCUUGCAGUUUGCAGCAAGGGUGUGUGCUGGAGGAUAGCACGAUGGUGAGGGCAAGUACAUUCUACAGUAAUAGAGGAGUGAGCAACAGAGCAGUGUUUUCCCAUUGCAGAGAUUAGGAAACGAGGAAGGCAGCCAAAAAUGCCACAGUCAUCAUGUUAGAGCUUAAUGUUUUGAUAAUGUUUUGAAAGGAUAUGGGUUCUCUGUAGGUUCGGAGCUCAGGUCUUGCUCUCACAGUGCAGCCCAGUAGCCGAACUGAAAGCCAUUGGCUCAGCUAGCCAAAUGGGGUUGUCUCUUCACAGAGACCAGCUAACAAAGGUAGGGCACACAUCUCUCUGCCACACUAUAGUUAAUGCCUAGGCCAUCAGGGAUACUUGUGGUGCUUAUAACAUCAUAUUAUAAGGGUGAAGGUUCAGUGUGUCCCAUUGCAAAGGGCGUCUCCUACAGAAUCACUGUGUCAGUGUCAGAUUUGUGUCUGAGUAAAGCUUCAUUGUAGCCUAAAAUAACAAAUGGAACUUGGUAAGGUCACAGUCUCAAGCAGGGAUAUGGUUGCAUACAUUUCUCUGCUUUUGUUUUAACAGGGAGCCUGCACAAGAUUUGUUUGGUAUCUGAGCAACCAGUUUCUAAAGCAUCAAAUGCCAAGCAGUCGGCAGGAAAGAGUUCUUUCGAUUCUGGAACAAAAGACUUCCGAAUCCUAUUGCAGCUCAAUACCCGAGCUUUGGCACAGUGCAACACCACUUCUCCAUGCAUGAGCUGCAAAUGCUGAAAAGGAGUGGGAGAAAGCAUGGGAGCACUAGCAGAUGGUUUUGUAGGAAAGGACGUUCAGAACUCAGCUGCUCAAGGGACUCGAUUCUCUCGCUUACAGUGAGUUAGAAAUUACUUAUAAUUUUAAGCUUUGUCCUAAAAUUCUGCUUUGAACAUUUGACGCUGCAUUAAAAAAUAUAAAUGUGAAA